UACGGAGGGGGCUAGCGUUAUUCGGAAUUACUGGGCGUAAAGCGCACGUAGGCGGACCAGAAAGUCAGAGGUGAAAGCCCGGGGCUCAACCCCGGAACGGCCUUUGAAACUCCUGGUCUUGAGGUCGAGAGAGGUGAGUGGGAUUCCGAGUGUAGAGGUGAAAUUCGUAGAUAUUCGGAGGAACACCAGUGGCGAAGGCGGCUCACUGGCUCGAUACUGACGCUGAGGUGCGAAAGCGUGGGGAGCAAACAGG
rnacentral:rRNA from 1 species